UACGUAGGGGGCGAGCGUUGUCCGGAUUUAUUGGGCGUAAAGAGCGUGUAGGCGGCUUUACAGGUCCGUUGUGGAAAACUCGAGGCUCAACCCUCGAGACGCCGGUGGAAAACCGUAAAGCUAGAGUCCGGAAGAGGAGAGUGGAAUUCCUGGUGUAGCGGUGAAAUGACGCAGAUAUCAGGAGGAACACCCGUGGCGAAAGCGGCUCUCUGGGACGGUACUGACGCUGAGACGCGAAAGCGUGGGGGGAGCAAAACAGG
rnacentral:rRNA from 1 species